CGGAGGGAUCAUUACAAGAACGCCCGGGCUUCGGCCUGGUUAUUCAUAACCCUUUGUUGUCCGACUCUGUUGCCUCCGGGGCGAGCCUGCCUUCGGGCGGGGGCUCCGGGUGGACACUUCAAACUCUUGCGUAACUUUGCAGUCUGAGUAAACUUAAUUAAUAAAUUAAAACUUUUAACAACGGAUCUCUUGGUUCUGGCAUCGAUGAAGAACGCAGCGAAAUGCGAUAAGUAAUGUGAAUUGCAGAAUUCAGUGAAUCAUCGAAUCUUUGAACGCACAUUGCGCCCCCUGGUAUUCCGGGGGGCAUGCCUGUUCGAGCGUCAUUUCACCACUCAAGCCUCGCUUGGUAUUGGGCAACGCGGUCCGCCGCGUGCCUCAAAUCGUCCGGCUGGGUCUUCUGUCCCCUAAGCGUUGUGGAAACUAUUCGUAAAGGGUGUUCGGGAGGCUACGCCGUAAACAACCCCAUUUCUA
rnacentral:rRNA from 1 species